GAUUAACGCUGGCGGCGUGCAUAACACAUGCAAGUCGAACGAUGAAACUUAAAUGAUUUCUUCGGAAUGAACUUAAGUGGAUUAGUGGCGGACGGGUGAGUAACGCGUGAGUAACCUGCCUUACACAAGGGGAUAGCCGUUGGAAACGACGAAUAAUACCCUAUGAAACUAUCACUUCGCAUGAAGCGAUAGUCAAAGUGUUAGCGGUGUAAGAUGGACUUGCGUCUGAUUAGCUAGUUGGUGAGAAAAAAGCCCACCAAGGCAACGAUCAGUAGCCGGCUUGAGAGAGUGUACGGCCACAUUGGGACUGAGACACGGCCCAGACUCCUACGGGAGGCAGCAGUGGGGAAAUUUGCACAAUGGGGGAAACCCUGAUGCAGCGACGCCGCGUGAUUUAGAAGGCCUUCGGGUUGUAAAAAUCUUUUGUAUAGGAAGAAAAUGACAGUACUAUACGAAUAAGGUCCGGCUAAUUACGUG
rnacentral:rRNA from 1 species